GAAACUCAAAAGCUCACUUCCUUAACAUGAGUAGAAAAGAAAGUUGGUCUCAGUUAAACUGGGAGCAGCAAAGAUACUUGGUGAAAUUAAAAAGAGUACAAUUUAUCUAAAAUUGCAAGUAGAAAUCUGCUUGGAAGCCAUAUAUAGUAGAAUUCACACUUAAGAACCCAUUCCUAGAAAUUAGAUCCAUACAGCUUCUCCACAUCUUCAGACAGAAAUAAAUAAAUAAUCCAUUUCAAAGGAAAAACCUUUGAAAUGGAUGCUCCUGGUAAUGGUUGUAGAGGGUUCCCUGCUAGCAGAAGGUUGCUGAAACCCUGUCCCUCCACAUGGACAAUGGGAAUGGGGUGGAGCUGACCUGAGAGACAGAUAUUCUCAGAGAGUGCAGCACCUGAAACUAGCAAGCUUCCUAGCAUAGGGCCACAGUAGCAGGUCCCCUAACUGCCUGCAGAAACCCUCCACCCCAUUCAUAUGAGACUACAUAGCCAAUUUACACAGUAAGCAAAAUCCCCAGCAAGUGUAAUAGCUAGCAGAGGCCCCAUGAUUUCAGACUUAUGCCUAACAGAAGCAGCCCACUAUUGGAACUGGUGAACAUAUACUUACCAAGCUAAUCCAAGUGGCUGAGGGAACUCACAGAAACCCCAGCAAAGUGGCAGAGGCACUCACAUCCUGUUAUAUUUUAGACAUUAGAUGUUCCCCAAAGCUCAUGUAUGAGACAAUGCAAGAAGGUUUAGAGAUGAAAUGAUUGGGUUAUAAGAGGCUUAACCAAAUCAGUGCAUUAAUCUCAUUAGGGAUUAACUGAGUGGUAACUGUAUGCAGGUAGGAUGUGUCUGGAGGAGGUGGAUCCCUGAUGGUGUGCCUUUGUGGUACAUAUUUUUUCCUGGUCCAGCAGAGAUUUGUCUCUGCUUCCUGGUGUGAUGCCUUGAGCCUCUUCCCUCCAUCACACCCUUCCACCAUGAUGUUCUGCCUUGUCUUUGGCCCUGAGGAAUGGAGUCAGACCUAUGGACAGAGACCUCUGAAAUCACGAACCCCCAAAUAAACUUUUCCUCUUCUAAUUGUUCUUGUCAGGUCUUUUUGUCACAGAAAUUUAAAAUCUGACUAAAACAUACCCUUUGUACUCCACAUCCUCUGGUCUGAGCUAGAUGAAUGCUCUUCCAACUUCAGGCAAAGUCCAACUAAUCCACAAUAGCCAGGGCACAAUGUCCCAUGCACUAGCCAAGACUAGAUGCCUCAUGAGGCUUGCACACACAUAUCUCACAGCCACUGACAGUCACCAGAUUUUCAGACCUGGGCAGAUAAUAGCUCAAUGACACACACUAGCCAGUGACAGUCCUAUGCUCAGAAGAAUAGAUUGCAGAUGCUUUGACCACUGAGUAGGCACAGAUGUGGGCUUGUAAACAGGAACCAACAACAGUCAUAAGCUGUGGAAACUGUGGAAACCAGGAUAGAGAUUCCCAUCCCACAGCACUGCCCCACAC
rnacentral:lncRNA from 1 species